CUCCAACAACAUGUUUCUGUCAUCUUCUCAAAUAUGCUACAUGAUAGAAUAAUACACCUGUCUGUGAUGACAGGAAUGAUCUUCAAUGCAGACACAUCUGUUUGCACUGUUAAUUCAGGACACAAUUGUCCCAGCAGAACUGCAGGCUGCCUUAUGACCACAGCUGCUUUCUGGUAAUAGCAUCUACUAUCUGAGUUGAAGAACACGUUUCAUGUCUCCUAAGUGAACAGAAGUGAUGAAGUUUGGAGAAACCCCUCCUCUUCCUGUGUGUAUGUUUAUAAGUUUUUUCUAAAUAUGACAUCUUGUAAUUAAUAAAGCUUUCUAUCCUGCAGCCUCUCAGUGGGAUUGACAAGACCAGUUGAUACUUUUCUUGCAUCCGUUUCUCUGUUCAUCUCUUUUCUUUCUCCCUAAAAUUGGCAUCCUAUCUCAACUAUGAAUCUGACCAUAGUCUAGAAGUCAGAGGCAUCUACAGACAUAGCACUGGCACCUCUGGGCCAGCAGAUCUCCUUCCUCAGCCAGCUGCAGUGUGGCUGCUGAGCACUGUCCCCAGAGCUCUGGCCUGGGAGCUGAGGUCAAAGCAAUGCUUUGGUAGCUGGUUUCAAGACAUAGUUAGGAUUUCAGGUCCAAAAUUUAGGGGUGCAGGGCAAUAAGGAAAGGUAGAAGUAAAGGUGAAGAAAAGGUCUGAUGGACAUGUCAGUCUAAUGAAAAAGGGACCCAAGGGGUCUUCAUCAGCUUUGCUGAAACAUUGAGGAUGAGACCCUUUGAGGAAUGAGCAGAAUCAUCCAAGUUUUAAAAAAAAAAAAAAAAAAGAAAACGGCAACAAAAACCAGGAUACUCACUCCUCCAGCUGAAGAUCUGAUCUGCAAUAUACUUCUCAUCUCUUUUCUUAAAGCUUAUUGAAUUAAGCUCACUUAGGUUAGAUCUAGAGGAAAGAGUACUAGAUAUAAUCUUCUUCCUGCUUAAUUUAACAGAACAAAUGUAGGAGUUUUCUCCUUUGUGAUGUCAUAGUCUCAGAGGUAUCCUACUGGGAGUCUGUUCUACAGCUUGAUGUUUGUUGGUUCACAAUACAGCAACAAAACUUUAAACAGAGGAAACUUUAUUCCAAAAGAAAACUCUGUAUCCCCCCGAGAACACCUGAGGGACUAAGUCAUAACACUAUAAGCAGCCUUGGUAUACAAAGGGAACAAAAGUCAGAAAUUAAAUGCACGGAAGAAUACAAAUGCAGCAGCACUGAUUCAUCUGAAUACAGAGAAAAAGGUCUUCAAGUGAGAUGGCUGCCAGAAGAUAAAAAGGAUUUGAUUAAAAUAUGUCACUAA
rnacentral:lncRNA from 1 species